GUCUUCGGACAAUUACUUUGACUCUGGCCUCAAAUCAGGUAGGACUACCCGCUGAACUUAAGCAUAUCAAUAAGCGGAGGAAAAGAAACUAACAAGGAUUCCCUUAGUAACGGCGAGUGAACCGGGAAGAGCUCAAAUUUGUAAUCUGGCUGUCUUCGAUAGUCCGAGUUGUAAUCUAUAGAAGCGUUUUCCGUGCUGAACUGUGUAUAAGUCCCUUGGAACAGGGUAUCAAAGAGGGUGACAAUCCCGUACUUUACACAAUCAUCAGUGCUCUGUGAUACGUUCUCUACGAGUCGAGUUGUUUGGGAAUGCAGCUCAAAAUGGGUGGUAAAUUCCAUCUAAAGCUAAAUAUUGGCGAGAGACCGAUAGCGAACAAGUACCGUGAGGGAAAGAUGAAAAGCACUUUGGAAAGAGAGUUAAACAGUACGUGAAAUUGUUAAAAGGGAAACGAUUGAAGUCAGUCGUGUUUAUUGGAUUCAGCCGGUCUUCGGUGUACUUCCUUUAAACGGGUCAACAUCAGUUUUGUUCGGUGGAUAAAGGUAUUAGGAAUGUGGCUUCUUCGGAAGUGUUAUAGCCUAGUAUUGCAUACACUGGAGGAGACUGAGGACUGCAGCUCGCCUUUAUGGCCGGGGU
rnacentral:rRNA from 1 species